UGAUCUCGUUGUCCGCCUGCCUCAGCCUCCCAAAGUGCUGGGAUUACAGGCGACACUACUUAUUUUUUUUGGAAUUCACUGUUUUCUGAGCUCAGCUUCGUAGUAGGAAAUGCACUCAUGAAAGUUAAAUGCAUUUUUCCAUUGGUUAAAAGCUUUAGUGGAGAAUGAAGCCCUUAAUCCGGGGAGUCUGCCCUCUCCUAUCUUUGUAUGAAAUUUUAUCUUUUAUCUUCUUGGUGCUAGGUGCUAGUGGUAGGCAGUUCAUUUGCUUCAGUUCAAAAGCAAAUCUAAGCACAUGAAAGGUAUCAUCUAGAGAAAUGGGUAAUGGGGAAACAAAUAAUGGGACUUUAAUAAAACAGUGUUUGAAGUUUUUUCAUGUGUGUUUGUACAUGUUUAUAUUAAAUAGAAUCCACAACGGAAAAAAGGUAUUUUAAGUUAUUUAAAUAAAAAUCUUUCUCUGUCUUUAAUACGUGAGCAAGUAGAUAUCACCUUAUAAGGAUUAGAUUGAUGACAGUUUUUUUCAUUUUUCCUCCUUAGGGGACAUGUGGUGGCAUCAUAGUUCUUUGCUGCCUUGAAUUAGGCAUAACCAUUUUUGUUUUGUUACCUCUGACUUGCAGCUUUUACGGAUAACUUACAUUGAAGAGACGGAAUCCUUGUGGGCCUAAACCCUACUGUCUGUAGCUGAGCGAAUAUAAGAGAACAACAUCUGGCCUAAUUUAUCUUUAGGCAAAGUUUAAUAAUGCUGAAUGGCAACCUCUGGGAAAAAAUCUAAGCAAGACUUGAUGUGAGUCCUGAUUUAGAGUUGGCUAAUAGAUACUACUUCUGGAUGGAUCAAGUGCAUAUUUAACAAAGAACUACAACCUGCUUCUCAGAAUUUUUGUUUAUUAAGAAUUUGGGUUGCCAGUGAUGCGGUUUUAGGAAUUGCUAUGGUUUUAUUAAUCUAAAGGAAGCAGGGUUGUACAUCCUGGAGAAGAUUAAUGAUUGGCCCUCUUUGUGUCCCCACCUCCAGCCAUCCCUCCUUCCCAUCUUUAAUAGGCAGCUCUUCAAGAAUUGCUUAUUCCUGAAGGAAUAUGACAGGAAUAUGUGAACUGUCAGCAAUAUAACAGCUUCCAUUGAAACCAAAGUGAGAAAGGGCAUUCUUCGGAAGAAGGAAGUGGGGAAUUGUGCACAGACAACAAUAAACUGAGUACAUACAUCAA